rnacentral:tmRNA from 1 species
GGGGAUGAUCGGUUUCGACAUCGUCUAUGUACCUGCGAGAAGCGGGCCGAGGAUGCAGGGUUAUCUCGUAAACGAUCUCUGCAAAAAUAUAACUGCCAAUAAAAAGCAGUCUGACUUCGCCCUCGCUGCCUAAGCGAGCCCGAUAGUCCGUCAGUCCGGGGGUGUUCCCGCUCCGGUCACUGGCGUCAUUAAGGGAACUUGCUUCACGUCGAUGUCUGAGCGACGUGCGGGACUUUAAUCAGGCUGGGCCCGUCGACCUAGGCGCCUGUGGCAAAGGUCGGGGCCGAGUAGAACGCUUGCACAGGCUACGCCCGUAGAAGGCGCAGAAUCACAGCGAUGGACGGGGGUUCAAUUCCCCCCAUCUCCACCA